UUGGGGAAUUCCAAGUUCUAGGGUUUUAAAAAUUGGGGAUUUUCUAGAAUUUGCAAUUUCCCUCCUCCUGAUUGCUUAAACGGGUAAUUAGCACUAACCCGCAUCAGUAAUACCUUGACUGAAAAUAAUUAGCCAUAAACAAGGCUCACUAACCUAAUAAAGUUUAAUUAAACCUUAAGUUGGUGAUUAUCUGGAACGGAGAAAAUCAGGACUUAAACAUGAUCGUUAACAGAAAAGAAACAUCACUAAAAACAUGAUUAGAGUUCUAACCGAGAUUAACCAGCUCAUGAUACCAUUGUUAGGUUAAUUGGCUUUGGGCUAAUCAACUUUAGGACUUAAUCUCGGACUAGAACAUCAGUAUUAUGCGGAAGCGUACAAACUUACAUUGAUUGGCGAAAUCCCAUGGCUGCUCGAUGCAGCCCCUUGUGUAGCCCAUGGCCGCACCUUGGGGUCUCCGGCGAUGAAGAUAUGGCCGGGAGAAAAGCAGCACGUAUAUGGUGUGGACGUGCAUCAGGAGCGCCGCUGUAGGAGAUGGCCACCGGCACUAACCUUGCGGUGGCCGGCGGUGGUAGUCGGCCUUCCAGCCCAUCAGCUCCCUCUUUUUAGGAUCGGUUGUUAGCACUCAGGAGUUUUAACCCGUUUGUGUUUUUCUUUUCUUAUCUGAACAGGUACGUGACCUCUUCCUUUUAUAUGGGAACUGAUGGACCGGGGACCGAAACCAAAACAUUGGGUUUGGGUGCCCCCGAUCAAAGCACCAACGUGGGAUUGGACUCCCCUUCUUUUUAUCUCGGUCUAUUACAACCUGAGAUCAAUUCCAACAUCUUAACCUAAUCAAACUGACCUGGGAUCCAGUGAUGCUGCAUUAGACAAUUUAAAUUAUAAUAUCUAACGUUUGAUGUUCUAUUUACAUAUACUGCCUUAUAUGUGCAUGAUGAAUGACUUAAAUUUGGAGGUAUAUGCUUUUCCGCUAUUUCAAGCAAUAAUCAAAUAAGUAUGGUUUAAUAUUAGAACUCUAUAAGCAACUUACCAUAUCUCCAAUGCUCAUGUGUAUUUAUUUUUUUGCAUACCACCUUCUGCCCUGCUUUAUGUACUAGAGUACUUGUGCCUCAAUAGCAAGCAACACAUCUCCCCUUUAAGUCUGUAUCUCAAUACUGUAUAUGCCAUGAGAUCUGGUUAUCCUUCAACAUUCUGUACUCCGCCGUGCGCAACGUGUUGAAGAAAUUCGCCUCAUCUUCUACUGAUACAAUGCCAUCCUACUAUUUCAGAAAGAGGAAUCAUGCACUCCUGAUGUUACUGAACCCAAGGCGAUCUCAAAAAGGAAAAUACUGAGAUAAUGGGACAAGUGGGCAACAAGGAAUCUGAUGGUUCUGAGAGUUGUUUUGAGCAAACAUCUGCACCUGACGGUGGUGUAGUAACACAUGCACCCAGUCAUUUGGAUGAUCCAUCUGAGCUAAGCAUUAUAGAACUUCAUAUAGUUCCAUGUAAUCUGUCCGCACGGUUUACUGAUAUAAUACAAGUUAGCGACAAAGCUCCCAUGGAACAAAGUGAAGAAGAGGAGUUAAGCAGCAAUACAGAAGUGGAGAGUAUUCAACAUGACAUCGAUAUAAAAGAAAUGAAGCAUCAUGAUUAUCCAAGUUCCUCUCAGCAAGCGAACUCUGACACGGGAGAAAAUCGGCCUUCCUUAGAGCUGCAAGGGAUGGUAUGUAAUCAUUUAAUCCUUUCGUUUUUGCAACUCAAAGGGAAGUCUAGCCUACCCGUUUUUGGAAUCUAUGGCAGGCUGAUGCAUAUUGCAUUCUUUCUAUGGCAGUAUGUCGAUAUGGGUUCCUCCUAAACAUUAAAAAAAUCCAUUUCAGACAGUCAAGAACUCUUCACAGUCCUCCUUAAAGCACAGUGAGAGAUUUCUGCGUAGGGAAAGCAAUAUCAAUAUGCAUGAUCAAUUGUUUUGUAUCUCAAGACCACGCCACUGCAUGGUGCUGCUCAGCAGAAUCCUAAUGAACUGGUGCCUGAGCCAGAAAGAUGCGAGCCCACGGUAAAGGAGGCUGCUGCAGAACACGCACAUGGCCGACAUGCGACAUGCAUGUACCGGAUGAAGGACUUCCCCAGACGAAGGCUUCAAUAGACUGCCAGGCAGAAGGAACCGCGGAUGACCAAAAAGAGAACCUUUGCGAGGAAGAAGCAAAAAGAGGACCUUUGCGCUUCGAAGCCUCGUGAAAACACACCCUAAAAAAAAAGCCUCGUGAAAACACAAAGAAGACGUCAAGGUGAGCGAGCAUACUUACAGAAGGGAAGGCGGCACCUAAAUGCAAAAACCAGCUUGAUAGGUAAUUAAUAUCCAUAAUAUAGUUGACACAACCUGUGGUUUGGUUUGGUGAACCAAGAGGAGGCUACUGCCGGUGGCGGCCAUGAUGCUCAAGGACUCAAGAAGAGGACUCGAAGAGGGCAUGCACACGCCCCCUUUGUCUGCGGAAAGCGUUUGGUUUUGGACCGAUUAUUGAUAUUCUAACCUAACUAACUGGCACAAUGGCUGUUACUGCAGGAUAGAGGAGGCGCCAAGGCAUCGGCCGGCGACGGCAAUUGGGCGAUCGGACUCGCUCAUCUAGCUCCUCAAAGCAUGAGGCAUCGCUGGGGCUAGAGAAGAACACCCACCCACUCAAUUAGAUAAAAUUCAUACCGUCAAAUCACCUUGGUUUGGUGUAGUUAAUUAUUACUUCUCCACGGCGGGUGCUUCUGUAGGAUCUUCACCAAGUCCAGUUCACAACUAAACUUUUGGUGACACAUGAAAAUUUAUCUAUCUAAGAAAA